rnacentral:lncRNA from 1 species
GAGAAAGGGGAGUCAGUAGGAGAUGGUGCAUCUAUAAGAGAAGGACCUAAUAUGAAUCUAGAUGGAUCUAAGUCAACGAAAGGUUUGAGUAUAGUAUAGUCAAGAGAUGGAUGAGAAGGAAGAGGAGGAACCAAAGACAUUGUUCAAAAGAAGAGAAGAGCCGAGAGAGUCGGUUACGAAAAGUAAAGAAGAAUGAAGGAGACGAAAAAGAGGUUUUAGUGAAGGAGACGAGGAAAAGAAAUAAGAAUUAGAAGAGACAAAAAGAAUGGGAAGCUUGGGGAAGAAGAAAAGGCCGUCGUAUCAAACUGUCGCAUCGAUUACGAGUCCCAAGGUCGGCUAUAAUGAUGAAUAGACAGCGGCAAUUAAGAUGAUUUAAUUAAUGCCGCACAUGAGACAAAAGUAGAGAAUACGAUCAGGGCCGUAAAGAAGAGAAUAAAUGGCUUAGAUUAAACUGUACAGAAGAUCGUGGUGUAGAAUACGUCAGAGAAUUUGAAUUUGAUUGGACCGAGAAAUAUGCCUCGGAUCAAGCUCGCUUUCGGCAACAGAAAAUUGUUUGAGAUGAAAAAGGUAACGCCAGCUACCGAAGCAUCGCUUCGAAAACUGGCGAGGGUGCAAUUGUUGAGCCAGUUAGGCGCGAACAGCUGG